ACGUAGGGUGCGAGCGUUAAUCGGAAUUACUGGGCGUAAAGCGUGCGCAGGCGGUUGUAUAAGUCAGAUGUGAAAACCCCGGGAUCAACCUGGGAACCGCAUUUGAGACUGUACGGCUAGAGUUUGGCAGAGGGGGGUGGAAUUCCACGUGUAGCAGUGAAAUGCGUAGAGAUGUGGAGGAACACCGAUGGCGAAGGCAGCCCCCUGGGCCAAUACUGACGCUCAUGCACGAAAGCGUGGGGAGCGAACAG
rnacentral:rRNA from 1 species